UUCCGGUUGAUCCCGCCGGACCUGACUGCUAUCGGAUUGAUACUAAGCCAUGCGAGUCAUUGUAGCAAUACAAGGCAGACGGCUCAGUAACGCGUAGUCAACCUAACCUAUGGACGGGAAUAACCUCGGGAAACUGAGAAUAAUGCCCGAUAGAACACUAUACCUGGAAUGGUUUGUGUUCCAAAUGAUUUAUCGCCGUAGGAUGGGACUGCGGCCUAUCAGUUUGUUGGUGAGGUAAUGGCCCACCAAGACUAUUACAGGUACGGGCUCUGAGAGGAGUAGCCCGGAGAUGGGUACUGAGACACGGACCCAGGCCCUAUGGGGCGCAGCAGGCGAGAAAACUUUGCAAUGUGCGAAAGCACGACAAGGUUAAUCCGAGUGAUUUGUGCUAAACGAAUCUUUUGUUAGUCCUAGAAACACUAACGAAUAAGGGGUGGGCAAGUUCUGGUGUCAGCCGCCGCGGUAAAACCAGCACCUCAAGUGGUCAGGAUGAUUAUUGGGCCUAAAGCAUCCGUAGCCGGCUCUGUAAGUUUUCGGUUAAAUCUGUACGCUCAACGUACAGGCUGCCGGGAAUACUGCAGAGCUAGGGAGUGGGAGAGGUAGACGGUACUCGGUAGGAAGGGGUAAAAUCCUUUGAUCUAUUGAUGACCACCUGUGGCGAAGGCGGUCUACCAGAACACGUCCGACGGUGAGGGAUGAAAGCUGGGGGAGCAAACCGGAUUAGAUACCCGGGUAGUCCCAGCUGUAAACUAUGCAAACUCAGUGAUGCAUUGACUUGUGGUCAAUGCAGUGCUGCAGGGAAGCCGUUAAGUUUGCCGCCUGGGAAGUACGUACGCAAGUAUGAAACUUAAAGGAAUUGGCGGG
rnacentral:rRNA from 1 species